GCAGCCAAAAUAAGAAUUGUCCUUGCUCAUAGUACAACCCUUUAAUUGACUUGUGCCUGAGUACUGGUGUGAGCUGAGUAUUGGUGAUUAUGAAUACUGGGCUCCCCAGCUAUUUGUUCAUGUACUUAUUGAGGUCACUAUUGGUCUUCCUUCUUCAAUGAAGGGAGAAGCUCUGUCGAAUGUAGACUGCAAAGUCAAGCUCAUUAAAAGUAUCCCUCUUUCUUCCUGAGAAAAGGUAUCCAAGGAGAAUUCUGUCCCUGGUUCCUCCCAUGUGGGGGUCUAGGCCUAGGACCAGAUCUUAUUGUCUCUACAAUCUUGAUUCUUUAGCAUUUCAGGAUAGGCAGAGAUUUGUUAAAGUAUACAAAAAUCAUAGCUAGAUAAGAGAGAUAAUAGAAAUAAGUUCUAGUGUUCUAUACUCCUGUAGGAUGACUACAGUUAAUGCUAAUAUACAGUUACAAAUAGCUAGAAGGAGGCUAUUGAAUGUUCCCAACAGAAAGAAAUGAUCAAUGUUUGAGAUGAUGUUGAUGUGCUAAUUACCCUCAUCUGAUCAUUAUACAUUAUAUGUAUCGAAACAUCGCUCUGUACCCUGUGAAUAUGUACAAUUAUUAUUAUUAAAAUAAAUACAUAAAUAAAAUUUAAAAGUCAUUAUGA
rnacentral:sRNA from 1 species